rnacentral:rRNA from 1 species
UUUUGGACAAUGGGGGCAACCCUGAUCCAGCAAUGCCGCGUGAGUGAAGAAGGCCUUCGGGUUGUAAAGCUCUUUUCUCAGGGAAGAAACACCGGCUCUAACACAGUCCGGGAAUGACGGUACCUGAAGAAUAAGCACCGGCUAACUACGUGCCAGCAGCCGCGGUAAUACGUAGGGUGCAAGCGUUAAUCGGAAUUACUGGGCGUAAAGCGUGCGCAGGCGGUUAUACAAGACAGGCGUGAAAUCCCCGGGCUUAACCUGGGAAUGGCGCCUGUGACUGUAUAGCUAGAGUGUGUCAGAGGGGGGUAGAAUUCCACGUGUAGCAGUGAAAUGCGUAGAUAUGUGGAGGAAUACCAAUGGCGAAGGCAGCCCCCUGGGAUAACACUGACGCUCAUGCACGAA